rnacentral:rRNA from 1 species
UCGGGAAUUUUGGGCAAUGGGCGAAAGCCUGACCCAGCAACGCCGCGUGAAGGAUGAAGUAUUUCGGUAUGUAAACUUCGAAAGAAUAGGAAGAAUAAAUGACGGUACUAUUUAUAAGGUCCGGCUAACUACGUGCCAGCAGCCGCGGUAAUACGUAGGGACCAAGCGUUAAUCGGAAUUAUUGGGCGUAAAGGGUGCGUAGGUUGUUUGAUAAGAUAUAUGUGAAAUACCUGGGCUCAACCUGGGAAGGUCAUAUAAGACUGUCAGACUCGAGUAUGGGAGAGGGUAGAGGAAUUUCCGGUGUAGCGGUGAAAUGCGUAGAUAUCGGAAGGAACAUCGGUGGCGAAGGCGUCUACCUGGCCUAAUACUGACACUGAGGCACGAAAGCGUGGGGAGCAAACAGGAUUAGAUACCCACGUAGUCCCUGAGCGGGCUGGCAAGGCGCAU